CUGACAAGCAGAAGUAGCUGGAGGCUGCCCUGCAGCGGGCCAAGCAGGACAUGGCGCUGCAGCUGCGUGAGUACCAGGAGCUGAUGAACGUCAAGCUGGCCCUGAUCAUCGAGAU